rnacentral:rRNA from 1 species
GACGAACGCUGGCGGCGUGCUUAACACAUGCAAGUCGAACGAUGAAGAAAAGAAUUGAAGCUUCGGCAGAAAUUCAUUUCGGAUUAGUGGCAGACGGGUGAGUAACGCGUGAGCAACCUACCUCUUACAAAGGGAUAGCCUCGGGAAACCGGGAUUAAUACCAUAUAACAUUGCGACGAAGCAUUUCGAUGCAAUCAAAGCUACGGCGGUAAGAGAUGGGCUCGCGUCCCAUUAACCAGAUGGUGAGGUAACGGCUCACCAUAGUAACGAUGGGUAACCGGCCUGAGAGGGUGAACGGUCACACUGGAACUGAGACACGGUCCAGACUCCUACGGGAGGCAGCAGUGGGGAAUAUUGCGCAAUGGAGGGAACUCUGAUGCAGCGACGCCGCGUGAGUGAUGAAGGAAUUCGUUUCGUAAAACUCUGUUCUAUGGGAAGAAAAGGACUGUACCAUAGGAGAAAGCUCCGGCUAAAUACGUG